GAACCUGGGACCUUUCAGUCCGCAGGCCGACGCUCUAUCCGCUGAGCCAAACUGGUUUCGGCAAUAAAUAAUUUUUUUAAAAAGAAGCAGCAGUGGGCAUUAAGAAAAGCAUGGGAUAGAUGGGCAGCUUUGAUGUAAAAAUGACGUUAACCAUUAGAAAAGAAUUUUACAUUAUAAAAUUCAUUUUAGUCUGUAAAUCUAAAAUCAAAUUUUGUCACAUUUAUGUGUUCAUUCAUUUCUUUGUGGCAUGUUACCAAUCACCCCAGGAGCUGGAAACUGACUCCCUUUAUGUUAGGAGAAAAAAAGUUAAUUUGUUAUAAAUAACAAUUUGUCUUGAAAACUCAAAGUCUAUUUUAAAUUAAGUUGAUUCUUCUUAAUUAAGGUCCUUCCAAGGAACUUCUGAGCUUGAGGUGUGGCUGGAGGCAGCAGGCAGCACACAGGGAAUAAUAAUACCCUUUAGAAAUUAGGAUGUGACAGAGAGCCUGCGGGAACCGAACAGAACAGGCAGAUGUCACAGCACCCCAGGGUGUCCUCAUGAGCGAGAGUGUGAUGAGAACUCGUCGGAAGUGAUCGAGGAGGAACUUCAACGGGGCUUUGAUUCAGGUGCUGGAGCUCUUGAAAGGCUAUUUUGGCGACCCCAGGAAGCUGGUGAGUUGAGGUAACAGAUGUCACUGCAUGCAGAUCAAGUUGUGCAGCUCACAAGCAAGAAGAGAAGCCAGUUGUCUUGCAGAAUUCUACUGAAUGAUUUAAAACACAAUGCUGAGUGUCCCUUUCCUGCCUAAAGCUCUUCUCCAGAAACCCACUACCAGAGGGUUAAGGUUGGAACUCUAAGAUGCCCACAGGUCCUCCAUGCUACACCUUCUGCCCAAACCGAACUGUCUGAGGGCUAGUCUUCAGCCCUCCACUGUCCUCCACACCCAAGCUGAUGCCUCUGGACUUUGGUUCAUGCAGUCCCCUCUGCCCCAAAUGCCCUUUCCCCUCCUCUUUCCCCAGUUAAUUGUUACUUGUGCCUUAAAGUCUCAAUUCAGGCAGCACCUCCUUCAGGAAGUCUUCCUGAUUACCCUGCCUGGGUGCUCCCCUAAUCUCCACUCCUAUCCCCAUCCCUGCACUCAGAGCACCGUGUUCUAAUAUUAUGAGUGCCAGCCUCUUUCCCCAGAUCACAAGAGGACUCAGGACAGGGACUAUGGCUUACCCACCUCUGGGUGCCUCAAAAUGUGUGUGGAAUGAAUGAGUGAGAAACAGGAGAGAGGAAGAACGGGAAAGAGGUGGAAAGAAAGGUGUCAGCACACCUUCACUAAGGAAGAAAGCCAGAAGAAGGGCACUGUUGAUGGUCUUUAUCCAGGAGGAAAAGCAGAGGGCUCUCAUGUUCUUAUCAGCCUUCCUCUGACCAUCACAACAAGGAGCCCCAGAACUGUGUCCCCUGCCCCUUUGAAAGCUUUUCUAGGCUAAAUGGCUUCUGCGCUUUGGUUUACCUGUAGUAAUAAGUAGGCAAGCCUUGAGCAUUAAAGAGCCUGUAAGCUUGUUUUCAAGACAGCAACAAAGGCAGAGCUGGGAAGUCGCCCGGCAGCCAGCAUAGGACAGAGGAAUCCCCUCAGCCAGGCAUGGGACGACGACAGCUGCAAAGAGGGGAGGGAAGAAGGCCGAGGUCCCAGUGCCCGUGACUAGGAAGAAAAAGAGAGCUUAGGAAAUUGGCCUGGACCCAAGAAGAGGCCACUAAGUCUAAAAACUUGAAGACCGCCCUCACCGGUUUGGCUCAGUGAAUGGAGCAUCGGCCUGCAGACUCAGGGUCCCGGGUUCGAUUCCAGUCAAGGGCAUGUACUUUGGUU